ACGACGGGUAGCCGGCCUGAGAGGGCGACCGGCCACACUGGGACUGAGACACGGCCCAGACUCCUACGGGAGGCAGCAGUGGGGAAUAUUGCACAAUGGGCGAAAGCCUGAUGCAGCGACGCCGCGUGAGGGAUGACGGCCUUCGGGUUGUAAACCUCUUUCAGCAGGGAAGAAGCGCAAGUGACGGUACCUGCAGAAGAAGCACCGGCUAACUACGUGCCAGCAGCCGCGGUAAUACGUAGGGUGCGAGCGUUGUCCGGAAUUAUUGGGCGUAAAGAGCUCGUAGGCGGCCUGUCGCGUCGGAU
rnacentral:ncRNA from 1 species